AAUUAUUUUCCUAAAAUCACAGUUUGGGUUUUAUUUUAAGAGGUCUUCACUUAAGUCAAGUUUACAAAGAUUUCCCCUAGGUUUUCAUUAAGAAGUUUUACAAUUUUCUCUUACGUUUAGGUCUGUGAUCCAUUUUCACUUAACUUUUGUACAUGGUUUGAAAUGCAGUUCUAAGUUUCUUAUUUUAAAUAUUAAGUUUCUUAUUUUAAAUUUGCAUAUCCAGGGACACCUGGUUAAGCAGCUGCCUUCAGCUCUGGUUAUGAUCUCAAGGUCCUGGGAUGGAGUCCCGCAUCAAGUUUGCUGCUCAGUGGGGAGCCUGCUUCUCCCUCUCCCUCUGCCUGCCACACCCCUGCUUAUGCUCUCUUUCUCUUUCUCCGUCUGUCAAAUAAAUAAAAUCUUUAAAAAUAAAUAAAUAGAAACGGAUAUCCAAGUUUCCAGCGCUAUUUGUUGAAGAUACUAUCUUUUACCCCAUCGAAUUGCCUUGAAACCUUUGUCAAAAUCAACCAACCAUAAAUGAAAAGGUUUAUUUCUGGAAAUUCUACUUCUGUUUCAUUAAUAUCUAGGCCUAUCCUUUGAGACCAGCUACGGGAAGUCUUAAAAGUUUGUUCUUCUUGUUCAGAUUGCAUUGGUUAUGGAUUUUGAUAAAAAUUGCUUUGAAUGUAUUCCCCAGUCUGGGAGAUCUGCCAUCUUAACAAUACAUGAGCAUGGGACGUAUCUUUAUUUGGAGCUUGACUUUCUCUGUUAUGUAUCUAUGUGUGGAUCUCUUUAUAUUUAUAGUAAUUAGAGUUUACUGAGCUCCUUGGGUGUGUAGAUUGUUUUUCAUGAAAUUUGAGAAGGUUUAAGACAUUAUUUCUUUGAGUGUUUUUUCUGCCCCUUCCCUCUCUUACCGGUUUCUAGGAAUCCGUGAUGGUGUACUUGAUGGUAUCCCACAAGUGUCUGAGGCACUCUUGACUUUUCUUCCUUUUUCACUUCCCGUCCUUCAGAUUCAAUCAUUUCUAUGGGUCUACUUUCAAGUUCAUGUAUUCUUUGUCCUGCCAGCUCUCAUCCUGUCCACUUUUGAGUUCAUCUAAUGAAUUUUUCAUUUCAGGGAUAUUAAGUUCCAGAGUUUUCUUGUUCAUAUUAUUUAUUUUUAUUUUACAUUUCAUAUAUAUAAAUGCAAAUCAAAACUAUAAUAUAAUAACACUUUACCCCUUUCCACACACUAGCACAGCCACUUUGGAAAAUCAAUUUAGUGGUUUCUUAAAUAUUUAAACCCACACUUAACAGUAGAACCCAAUAAUCUCUUUCUUAGGGAUGUAUGAAAAGAAAUGAAAAUAUAUUUCCACAUAAAGAUACAUAUGUGAACAUUCAUCGGAGCAUUACUCGUAGUAACCAGAAACUGGAAACAACCAAAUUAUCCAUCAACCGGUGAAUAAAUGAACAAAAUGUGGUGUCUGCUGGCAAUAGAAUGUUACUCAGCAAUAAAAAGGAGCAAACUAUUUAUACAUAUUACAAAAGGAUGGAACCUCAAAAAAGGUACACUAGGAAAGUAGCCAGGCACAAAAACUACAUAUAUUUUUAAACAAUAUUUAUAGGAAAAUUCUAGAAAAGUCAAAUCUCUAGACACAGAAGACUGAUCACCCUAGUAAUUAUCUGGGUCUAGGAGUGGAAGUAACAAUGUCUGUAAAUGGGCACAAAGGAGCUUUUUAGAGUAAAGAAAAUGUUCUUAAACUGCAUUGUGGUGGUAACUUCACAGCUGUAUAAAUUUACUAAAACUCACUGGACCAUAUGUUUAUAAUGGGUAAAUUUUAUAGUAUGUAAAUCAUGUAUCAAUUAAACUGUUAAACAUUUGAUAAGGCAGUAAGGAAAAUUACAGACCCAUCUUACUCAUGACCACGAUGCAAGAGUUGUACCCAGAACAUUAAUGAAACAAACCCAUGAAUAUUAAAAAAGGAUAUUAUAUUGCCAUUAGAUUGUGUUAUUCCAGGAAUGCAAGUCUGGUCGGUCGAACAUUCAAAACUGGCCAAUGCCGUUGUCCCAUCAGCAUCUGUUGGGUCAAUGGUGAGGGCUCUGCCACCUGACUCGGUGUGUGCUUCCUUGGCUUAGGUAGUUUGGGGACAGAUCCCUGGGUCAAGGGGAUCCUCAUUGAGAGCAUGGAUGGGAUUCUGUCUGUGCCUAGACUGUGAGGCACAUGCUUACUUCUGCCUCAGUCAGAUGGAAUAGAACUUGAGCUUUGGCUCUAAGAAGAUGGGUUUCUUCAUAGUUAACUUUCCAGAAAAGUUGGAGAUGGUCUUCCAGUCCUCGUGUUUACCGGCCAUUGCUGUGGUUGGGCUAAUGUUGGUAAUGGAGUCGUCUGUAAGAUGGCCGUGGUCCUAGGAAGGAACUCAUACUACAGUAGCACUAGAAAGUCCAUGGGAACUCAUGCAUAAUGUCUAAAGAAGACCUCUGUGGAGGAGCUCUUUUUGGAGCUUGACUUUCUCUGUUAUGUAUCUAUGUGUGGAUCUCUUUAUAUUUAUAGUAAUUAGAGUUUACUGAGCUCCUUGGGUGUGUAGAUUGUUUUUCAUGAAAUUUGAGAAGGUUUAAGACAUUAUUUCUUUGAGUGUUUUUUCUGCCCCUUCCCUCUCUUACCGGUUUCUAGGAGGGUGCGGGCACUUUUUUUGUGUUAUUAUACAAUAUUUAACUCUUCUACAGAGGCAAGAAAACAAGUGGGAUAGGUGAAACUGAUAAGGUAUGUUAACAUACAUCAUGAGUAAUCUAUGAGCUUGUGAGAUAGAACAUGAGUCAGGAUGUGUGGUUAGGGGUAAAACUAAACAAAAGCAAGGUGGGGCACCUGAUUGACUUAGUUGGUUAAGCAUCCAACUCUUUUUUUAAAAAAGAUUUUUAUUUUGAGAGAGAGACAGACAGACAGAGUGAGAGAGAGCACGAGAGGGGAGGUCAGAGGGAGAAGCAGACUCCCCAUGGAACUGGGAGCCCGAUGUGGGACUCGAUUCCAGGACUCUGGGACCAUGACCUGAGCUGAAGGCGGUUGCUUAACCAACUGAGCCACCUAGUCAUCCAAGCAUCUGACUCUUGACAUCACUUCAGGUCUUGAUCUCAGGGUCAUGAGUUCAAGCCCCAUAUUGGGUUCCAUGCUGGGCAUGGAGGCUACUUUAAAAAAAAAAAAAGAAAGAAAAAGAAAAAAAAAAAGAGGAAAAGGAAAAGCAAGGAAGGGUUUACCAUGAACUGUUCUAGCCAACACCCAAACAUACAUGCUUUCUUAGAAAUUUUACUAAAAAGGUCUUACAAUUGCAAGACCUUCUUCUGUCCCUUUGAGAUGUGUAUUUUUGUCCUACAACUCUAGAGUGUCUUUUGAAAGACCCCUCCCUUAGUAAACAGAUAGGAUAACUAACCGCUUAUUUGCUUUUCUGUAAACCGCUGGCUUUUAGGUAUAAGAUUAGGUUAUUAAUUGUGUGAUUAAUUGCUUACUAAUUGCUCUUUUGCCUUUCUGUUACCGCUUGGCAUAUAGAAAUAAUGGAGACGCCAUGAUGGCAUUCCUCCCUUCCCCCUUCUUGUUCCCCUUUCCCGCCUCUCCCUUCGCGCGGGCCCUCAUAACCAAUCAGCUUGUUCCCCCUUCCCGCCGCUCUCUUCGCGCGUGCGGGUCCCCAGGGCCAAUCAGCAAACUCCAAAUAUGCCUUUUUCAAAGUUCAAACUAUCAACCAAUCAUAUGCGCCCCACCCAAACCUUGUUUGUACCUUCCUAUAAAAGACCCUGCUUCUCUCCGGUUGGUGUGCUUGGUUAGCCGGAGUUACCGACCACCCGCCGGUACCUGCGUGACAAUAAACCUCUUGCUGUUUGCAUCCAGUGGCAGUGUUGGAUUCUUGGCUCCGAGGAGUGCAAUGAGGCUUGGACGGAUGCUAUGGAAGGAAGAAAGACGUCCCUCCUCUGCUGCUCUGGGUUGGAAACCCUAAUUAAUUGGACACCAAGACUGUUCCCCUUGGAAAACAGAAGGUAUUUACCCAAGAGAAAUAAAAACAUGGGGCCACAGAAAGACUCGGUGGAGAACGCAGCAGUUUCACACUCACUAGCCCAAACUGGAAACAGCCUGAUUUCCAUCAGCAGAUGAAUACAUAAAGAAACUGGUCUGUCUCCAUACAAUGGAAUAUUACUUAGCAAGAAAAAGGAAUGAAUUACUGAUGCAUGCUACAAUAGGAAUGAAUGUUGAAAUAAUUAUUCUAUGUUAAAGAAG